GAUCAGAUUGAAAUGCACAAAUGAGCUUGUAGUCAGCCACAAAGUUCAGUAAUGAAGGCUCAAAGACGAGCACAAGGGCGGGGUCACAACCAUGGUUAGCAUCAGGUUUAGGAAGUUUCUUCCACUGCUGGAUAACAGGAUUGCAGAUGUAAUAGGCUUUGUAUCCAGUCCGACCCUGGCAGCAGAGAAGUCCAUUGGAAGAACACCUAAUGUCAACUGGUUCAGGCAAAAACUUCAAAGAUGGGUCUGGAACCCCAUAUGCAAUUGGGUCAAGGGAAAUAAAUGAUGGCUGGGAUGAAUGAGAUUGACAAAAGAAGCCAGACAAAUCAUGGAAAGAAUUCGACUGGUUGUGAGCAAAGAAAGGAGUUGAGAUAUAAAGCUUCCACUCCCGACAAAAGUGCAUCGACGGAGAGAUUUAGCCGGAAGGUAACGAAGAGUAUUCUCCCUAAUAAUAUCUUUGAGGUCCAUGUAAAUCUUGUUAUUUCUGUUUGCAAAGAACGUGGUAGGUUUCUUUCCUCGAUCCAUUUAACUUCCAA
rnacentral:misc_RNA from 1 species